rnacentral:rRNA from 1 species
GACGAACGCUGGCGGCGUGCCUAACACAUGCAAGUCGAACGGAAAACAUAGCAAUAUGUUUUUAGUGGCGAACGGGUGAGUAACGCGUAGACAACCAACCUUUUUGUGGGGGACAACACUUCGAAAGGAGUGCUAAUACCGCAUACGCUCCAGAUGCCGCCUGGCAUUUGGAGGAAAGGAGCUGUAAGGCUUCGCAAAAAGACGGGUCUGCGUCUGAUUAGCUAGUUGGAGGGGUAACGGCCCACCAAGGCGACGAUCAGUAGCCGGUCUGAGAGGAUGGACGGCCACACUGGGACUGAGACACGGCCAGACUCCUACGGGAGGCAGCAGUGGGGAAUCUUCCGCAAUGGACGAAAGUCUGACGGAGCGACGCCGCGUGAGUGAUGAAGGCCCUUGGGUCGUAAAGCUCUGUCAUCAGGGACGAACGGUCACGUCAGGAAAUGGGCGUGAAUUGACGGUACCUGAGAAGGAAGCCACGGCUAACUACGUGCCAGCCGCCGCCGUA